GAGUUUGAUCAUGGCUCAGAUUGAACGCUGGCGGCAGGCCUAACACAUGCAAGUCGAACGGUAACAGAAAGCAGCUUGCUGCUUUGCUGACGAGUGGCGGACGGGUGAGUAAUGUCUGGGAAACUGCCUGAUGGAGGGGGAUAACUACUGGAAACGGUGGCUAAUACCGCAUAACGUCGCAAGACCAAAGAGGGGGACCUUCGGGCCUCUUGCCAUCAGAUGUGCCCAGAUGGGAUUAGCUAGUUGGUGAGGUAACGGCUCACCAAGGCGACGAUCCCUAGCUGGUCUGAGAGGAUGACCAGCCACACUGGAACUGAGACACGGUCCAGACUCCUACGGGAGGCAGCAGUGGGGAAUAUUGCACAAUGGGCGCAAGCCUGAUGCAGCCAUGCCGCGUGUAUGAAGAAGGCCUUCGGGUUGUAAAGUACUUUCAGCGGGGAGGAAGGUGUUGUGGUUAAUAACCGCAGCAAUUGACGUUACCCGCAGAAGAAGCACCGGCUAACUCCGUGCCAGCAGCCGCGGUAAUACGGAGGGUGCAAGCGUUAAUCGGAAUUACUGGGCGUAAAGCGCACGCAGGCGGUCUGUCAAGUCGGAUGUGAAAUCCCCGGGCUCAACCUGGGAACUGCAUUCGAAACUGGCAGGCUUGAGUCUUGUAGAGGGGGGUAGAAUUCCAGGUGUAGCGGUGAAAUGCGUAGAGAUCUGGAGGAAUACCGGUGGCGAAGGCGGCCCCCUGGACAAAGACUGACGCUCAGGUGCGAAAGCGUGGGGAGCAAACAGGAUUAGAUACCCUGGUAGUCCACGCCGUAAACGAUGUCUACUUGGAGGCUGUGCCCUUGAGGCGUGGCUUCCGGAGCUAACGCGUUAAGUAGACCGCCUGGGGAGUACGGCCGCAAGGUUAAAACUCAAAUGAAUUGACGGGGGCCCGCACAAGCGGUGGAGCAUGUGGUUUAAUUCGAUGCAACGCGAAGAACCUUACCUGGUCUUGACAUCCACAGAAGUUUGCAGAGAUGCGAAUGUGCCUUCGGGAACUGUGAGACAGGUGCUGCAUGGCUGUCGUCAGCUCGUGUUGUGAAAUGUUGGGUUAAGUCCCGCAACGAGCGCAAC
rnacentral:rRNA from 1 species